CACGUAGUUAGCCGUCCCUUUCUGGUAAGAUACCGUCACAGUGUGAACUUUCCACUCUCACACUCGUUCUUCUCUUACAACAGAGCUUUACGAUCCGAAAACCUUCUUCACUCACGCGGCGUUGCUCGGUCAGACUUCCGUCCAUUGCCGAAGACUUCCCUACUGCUGCCCUCCCGUAGGAGUCGUGGGCCGUGUCUCACGUCCCAGUGUGGCCGAUCCACCCUCUCGAGGUCGGCUAUGUAUCGUCGCCUUGGUGAGCCCGUUACCCCACCAACUAGCUAAUACAACGCAGGUCCAUCUGGUAGUGAUGCAAUUGCUACCUUUUAAGACAAAUGUCAUGCAACAUCUACUAUUAUGCGGUAUAGCUAUUCGUUUCCAAUAGUUACUCCCCCGCUACCGAGGCAGGUUACCUACGUCGUUACUCCUACCCGUUCGACAACUCACUCCAGAAGAGCAAGCUCCUCCUUCAGUCGUUCUACUUGCAUGUAUUGGCACGCCGCCAGCGUUCGUCCG
rnacentral:rRNA from 1 species